UACGGAGGAUCCAAGCGUUAUCCGGAUUUAUUGGGUUUAAAGGGUGCGUAGGCGGAUUGAUAAGUUAGAGGUGAAAUGUCCGAGCUCAACUCGGGAACUGCCUCUAAUACUGUUGAUCUAGAGAGUAGAUGCGGUAGGCGGAAUGUAUGGUGUAGCGGUGAAAUGCUUAGAGAUCAUACAGAACACCGAUUGCGAAGGCAGCUUACCAAUCUAUAUCUGACGCUGAGGCUCGAAAGCGUGGGGAGCAAACAGG
rnacentral:rRNA from 1 species